AAAAAUGGAGGAGAACCUCUGCAGAAUGGUAUUCCCAUUCCCAUACUCCACAACUAGUUCAGAAGGACAAUGUGGUCAGUGACAUUGAAAGCCACUGAGAAAUCAAGAGGCACUAAGAUAAAUGCACUUUCCCCCCAUAAAUUGAAAAACAAAGUCCAGUGGACUUUUGAAAAAACCACCUUUGAGGCAACCCCAUAAAUCCAUUCAGGCUUUGGCUCUCUGAUAAGCUGCUCGCCAUUUAUAGAGAUAUAUUCUGACAAUGGGGUUUCCAUCUCAGGGCAAUCUACUGCAAAGGCUCAAUCAAAGAGAGAUGGGAGGAUAGGGAUACUUUUUCACCAAAACCACCACAAACCUUCUACUAGGUGAACCUUCUAGAGCAGGGGUUCUAGACAACGUGACAACAUCAAACUCAUGUUGUCAACACAUGACGUAUCAUGACAUUUUUCAUCUUCGCUAAAACAUGGGUGGGUGUAGCCAGCAUGUGACGCAUCCAGCCCAGGGGCCGCGAGUUUAACACCCCUGUUCUAGAGAAAUUGCAUGGGAGGUUGGUGAUUUGCAAGGGUCCAAUUUGCCUAUUAAGAGCCCAUACUCCCAUCCUGCCAUAUGUCUUUUUCUUGGGGAGGGGCCAUUUUUCCUUUGGCGUAUAGCACAAGUAGAAUUGAUCAACCACCAAUGUUUACCUUCUCUGCUCUGGUAGGAAGAGUGACCUUGAGUCAUAUAUUUCACAAAGUCACUAUUCUGACUGGUAACCUCCCUUACCACAUGCAAUUCAUUCUUUUCUUCUCUCGCCACUCUGCUCUGCGGCAGCAUCUGUACUGCUAUUGUUGCUCCUUGCUUUCUGGAAGACUCCAUAGCUACAGGGGGCCUUCAGCAAAAGAUCUGCAUUUCAUGAGUGGAAGAAAACAGCAAGAAGAACUCCCUUCCCUUUCCCCUAACAACUGCAACAGAAACUGUGCUGUUGCCACCCACCAACUCACUAUGAGAACAACAACAUUCCAAGUUUCAUUUCUGAGGUGCACUUGUGGAGGUUUCUCAAAUGGCAAGCUUUCCUCCUGAGAGAAUCUAAUAGGAACCAAGAAACGUUUCCAUAAAUGAGUUUUUGUGACACGACAGAGAAGCAGUGAAAUACAAGAGUGAAGUACCACCACCUUCUAUUAUUUCCUUUAGGAUCACAGCACUACAGGUAGCGUAUCCCCCAGGCCAGCUGGAAUGCACCAAUACACAGCUGUGCCUCCCACUCCAAGCAACUGGGUAGCAGACUGUCUGCUUUGGAGCUGCAGGAAGAAUUGAAUGUGUACAACAACAGCACAGAUCAACCAUCCGAGCAUCUGUGGUUUCCACCUUUCUUCUGCAGAUAAAUUAACUCACUGCCCUGAAAUCUGGGCAUGUUGUUAAUGAUAAAAAGUAUAUCAUGUUGCAAUAAAAUAAGAUAUAAAAG